AUUGAACGCUGGCGGCAUGCUUUACACAUGCAAGUCGAACGAGUGGCGCACGGGUGAGUAAUACAUCGGAACGUGUCCUAUCGUGGGGGCUAACUGAUCGAAGGAUCAGCUAAUACCGCAUACGAUUGGAGCGGCCGCGGCCCGAUUAGCUAGUUGGUGAGGUAAAGGCUCACCAAGGGGACGAUCGGUAGCUGGUCUGAGAGGACGAUCAGCCACACUGGGACUGAGACACGGCCCAGACUCCUACGGGAGGCAGCAGUGGGGAAUUUUGGACAAUGGGGGAAAGCCUGAUCCAGCCAUGCCGCGUGCAGGAAGAAGGUCUUCGGAUUGUAAACCGCUUUUGUCAGGGAAGCGGUACCUGAAGAAUAAGCACCGGCUAACUACGUGCCAGCAGCCGCGGUAAUUC
rnacentral:rRNA from 1 species